rnacentral:rRNA from 1 species
AGAAUCAACGCUGGCGGCGUGCCUAACACAUGCAAGUCGAACGAGAAAGUGGAGCAAUCCAUGAGUAAAGUGGCGACCGGGUGAGUAACACGUGACUAACCUACCUUCGAGUGGGGGAUAACCCCGGGAAACCGGGCUAAUACCGCAUAACAUCGCAAGAUCAAAGCAGCAAUGCGCUGGAAGAGGGGGUCGCGGCUGAUUAGCUAGUUGGCGGGGUAACGCCCACAAGGCGAAGAUCGGUA